rnacentral:rRNA from 1 species
CAGUCGCCGCGGUAAUACGUAGGUGGCAAGCGUUGUCCGGAUUUAUUGGGCGUAAAGCGAGCGCAGGCGGUUCCUUAAGUCUGAUGUGAAAGCCCACGGCUCAACCGUGGAAGGUCAUUGGAAACUGGGGAACUUGAGUGCAGAAGAGGAGAGUGGAAUUCCAUGUGUAGCGGUGAAAUGCGUAGAUAUAUGGAGGAACACCAGUGGCGAAGGCGACUCUCUGGUCUGUAACUGACGCUGAGGCUCGAAAGCGUGGGGAGCAAACAGGAUUAGAUACCCCAGUAGUCCCUGUCUCUUAUAC